rnacentral:rRNA from 1 species
AUGAACGUUGGCGGCGUGCUAACACAUGCAAGUCGAGCGAGAAAGCUCCUUCGGGAGCAAGUACCAGCGGCGAACGGGUGUCUAACACGUAAGAAUCUUCCCUUCAGUGAAGAAUACUCUCGAGAAAUUGAGGUUAUUACUGCAUAUACCCUACGGGGAAAAGGUGGCUUUAUGCUGCCGCUGAAGGAUGAGCUUGCGGGCUAUUAGCUAGUGGGUGAGGGUAAAGGCUCACCAGGCGAUGAUGGCUAGCCGGCCUGAGAGGGUGUACGGCCACAUUGGAACUGCGGACACGGCCCAGACUCCUACGGGAGGCAGCAGUGGGGAAUAUUGCGCAAUGGGCGAAAGCCUGACGCAGCGACGCCCGCCGUGGAGGAUGACGGUCUUCGGAUUGUAAACUCCUGUUAAGCUGGGAAGAAAGCUCAGUCUCUAAUAGAGAUUGAGUAUGACGGUACUACUAGAGAAAGCACCGGCUAACUUCGUGCCAGCAGCCGCGGUAAUACGAGGGGUGCAAACGUUAUUCGGAUUUACUGGGUGUAAAGGGUGUGUAGACGGUUUGUUAAGUUCGUUGUUAAAUUUUUCGGGCCUAACUGAAAACUUGCGAUGGAAACUGGCAGACUUGAGAAUGAAAGAGAGAAGCGGAAUUCCUCGGAGUAGCGGUAAAAUGCGUAGAUCUCGAGAGGAACACCGAUGGCGAAAGCAGCUUCUUGGUCAUUUCUGACGGUUGAAACACGAAAGCGUGGGGAGCAAACAGGACUUAGACACCCUGGUAGUCCACGCUGUAAACGAUGAUCACUGGAUGUCAGUUUUGCUUUGCAAAAUUGGUAUCGAAGCUAACGCGUUAAGUGAUCCACCUGGGAACUACGAUCGCAAGAUUAAAACUCAAAGGAAUUGACGGGGGCUCGCACAAGCGGUGGAACAUGUGGUUUAAUUCGACACUACGCGAGGAACCUUACCUGGACUUGACAUGCUCUUGACAGUUGUGGAAACACAAUCUUUUAAGCUUCGGUUUAGACAGGACGCAAGGGUGCCUGCAUGGCUGUCGGUCAGCUCGUGGUCGUGGGAUGUUUGUGGUUAGUCCUCUAACGAGCGCAACCCUUGCUGCCUGUUGCACACUAUCUUCGGAUGGGGACACUCUGGUGUGGACUGCCUGCGGAAACCAGGAGGAAGGUGGGGAUGACGUCAAGUCAUCAUGGUCCUUAUGUCCAGGGCUACACACGUGUUACAAUGGCUGAUACAAAGGGGUGCGAAUCCGCAAGGUAGAGCAAAUCCCAAAAAAUCAGUCUAAGUUCGGAUUGAGGUCUGCACUCGACCUCAUGAAGUUGAAAUCGCUAGUAAUCGUUAUAUCAGCAACGAUACGGUGAAUACGUUCUCGGGCCUUGUACACACCGCCCGUCACAUCACGAAAGCUGUUUGUACCCAAAGUUAUCUUAGCCAACCUGCAAAGGGGGCGGAUAGUUAAGGUAUGUGGCGGUGCAUUGGGAUG